UAACAAGAGCUAGUGGGGCUUUACUAGUCCAGGUGCAACCAAAUUAGGAAGGCUCACUAAGCUUCAACAAAGUCACUCCCUCACCAGAACAGGAUUUGGCCUCCCUGGUGGAGUAUUUGGCCACUACUUCCCUCAUGACUCCUACAAUGAACCCAUGGCCCUCAGGCCCCAGUAGCUGCGGAGCACCUGACCAAGGCGACAGUCAGAGCCGUG
rnacentral:lncRNA from 1 species